GGUCGGGGGUGGACAGACAGAGACAGAGAGAUAGAGAGGGACCAAACGAUACAGCUCUGGUCAUCAAAGACAGACAUUACCAUUUUGUCUAACACCCGACUCUCCUCAGCUGACAAGCUGAUGCCAACACAGACUUUUUGGGGUCAAGGUCAUUACUGAAUAAUAAAGGAUGUGGAAGCACUCGCUACUAAAGCUACAUUGUGUUUUUUAAACAAACGUAUUGUUAUAUUGAUAGCGUCAGUGAUGUAUUAUUAGCUGGCUUUCUGAAUGCUCACUGUCUGUGGAGUGUUUGCAUAUGUUAUCGAAUGGGACAUAAUAAACUCUAGAAGAUAGUACCACUGUUAUCUUCAUUUACUACCGAAGGGAACCGAAGCUAAGCAGGAUUAGUGAGCUUGUCCAAAGUCUGCCAGAAGCGAAACCCAAAUUCGCUAAAGGUCAAAGUUCAUGCUCUCAGCUGCUCUGCGUCUGCCUUUUCCUUUCCGUUCCUUCAGGUAUGUCUCUCCAUGUCUGGAGGGACGCCAUGGCCUUUCCGAUAUGUCAGGGCAGGUGCUGACGUGGUGUCACGUUAGCUCCUCGUGUUCACCCUGGCUCUCUUUCCUCUCACUGCCUCAGCAUGAGAUGAGAGCCUUGGCUGAAGACGUAGCCAUGGCAUCAGGAGGAAUUCAGGCUCAAGAGGAGACAGAACCAGUGUUGGAACAGUGAGGAAGACGUCAAGGGAACCUUGAGCUCUUGUUUGCCCAAAUGCAGUCAAACAAAGCUGCUGUAAUGCAUAUUGCUUUUAUUCAUCAUGUUAAACAUUUAUAGACUUAUUAAACAGAAGAAUCAUAAGUGUGAGUUUAGCCUUGUGCCACUUUCCUGGCUUGGGUUAUCAAUUUAACUUAACAUGAUCAACACAGUCUUACGUCUCAAGUAUUAUGGCCUUUUAUACUGAUGACUAUUAAAUUUUAUAUAUACUUCUUUAUUACUUUGGAUAAGUCAGUGCAUUUUCAGUAGAGUAGCUUUGAAUGGAUCUUUUCAGAGUUUUGAGAUAGUCUGCCCCUCCUCUGGUUAUUGCUUUUUAUAGACCUGUUAUCAAACAGAUUUGAAGAUAUUCUAAUAUUUAUUCUUACGUGUGUAAGGGUCCACAUGAAAGGAUUCGGACCAGCAGUUACCAACUGGAGGAAAAUUGGCAAUGCUACUGUGAUGACAGGCACAGACAGAGUGCUGUGACCAACUUGUUCCUAUCCUUAAUAACCUUCAUUGUUACAACAAAGCAUCCCUUUCUUUAAUUCUAAAUUAUGGGGCACCAUUUUAUUCCCAAAUAAAAUGAGUAUAUAUGAAGACUUUUCUUCCCUUUCUUAUUUCAAAGAUCUAGUUUUCCAUAAUCUAGUGGUUGAGAGAAUCAGACAGGCAAGAGUUGGAAUCUUGGUUAAGAGGCAAAAAAGGACAGAGAAGCUAUGGAUUCACUCCACACCCCAAACCCUCAUCUGUCUAAGCCUUUGAAGCAGAUAGACUCUUUAUUGCCAUGAAUCUAACAUGUAAGCAUCUAGCACCUUGAUUUCAUUUGAUAAAGAAAGGAAGAAGGGAAAGAGGAACACACAAAGAAGCUGGCCCUGUUGGCUCUGUACACCAUUUCUGUUAUUCACGAGUAAGGAAUACUAGAGGAGCCGCUACAGAGGAAGGGAACAUGCUUGUCUUCUGGGUGCCAGCAUCAGAAGAGGUAGUUCCUAUCACAGAAACUUGGGUCCUGAGAUGAUGAGAGGUCAGCCCCUCACAGAGUUGUUUUAUCCAUGCAACAUUUCUUCUUGGAUAUGGGGUACCAUGUAAAAAAUCAUGUGGUGAGUGAGCGUGCUGGGGAAGUGUAGACAGAUAGAUCCCUGGGGGUGGGGUGGGUCCUGUGAUGAGCCAGCCUAACUGAAUGGGACAGCCCUUGGCCAAUGAGAGACCUUGCCUCAAAAAAACAAAAACAAGAAAUAACAAAAAAGGAAAAACCAAACUGGGUGAUUCCUGAGGAACAACUCCUGAGGUUGUCCUCAGGCUGCUACAUAUUUGUGCAUACAUGUACACACGUACACACAUACACACGUACACACAUACAUACACACACACACACACACACACACACACACACACACACACACACACGAACCUACAGACACAGAAAAAGAAAAAACAAGGGACCACUAUUUGGAUGAAGGUUUGAAACUAAAUUUUUAGUAAUAUAAAUUCUGCAAAUGAGUCACUUGCCGUGUUAGAGGGAGUAUGUGGGCAUGGAAACAUUGGUAGGAGGAAGCAAUUUUGGCUUUAACAUGAAGUUCAAAGUUGGAGAGGAUAAAUUCAUGAGAUAGAAAGCUGUAAGCCUAAUGGAAGUGUCUGCAAGUUCAGGGUUCAGGCCUUAACAACAUGAUUAGCUCUGACAGUGAGGAGCGAGGAGUCAGUUAGGGUAAACUGCAUCUGUAUGAGACCUCGUGCAUCAGGACCUUCCGGUUACAAAGGCUUGCCGCCAGUUCUGUUGUUUCCAGAGACACCGGAGGAAUUGAUGUCUGCAGCAAAACAUGGUACUGCUUUCAUAAUCUUGAAACGAAACUUCAAAGUUUUCGAUGUAAAACCUUGCCACCAACAUCCAGAGAUGACGAGACUCGAAAGUGAAGGUGGCGGUGAUUUGUCCUGACUUUGACUGGUGUGAACUCCUUGUGCACUUAACUGAGCAACGUGGUAGUAAUGACCCUUUAGCUUUGGGUGGCAUCUGUGAAACCUAAAAUGAAGAAGACCCGAACGAGGCCUUGACCGCUGUUGUGUGGUAGUGUCCUUGAUUCUCGACCAUGGUGGCAUCGUCACCGUUUCUGGCUCAUCUUCUCCAGUUCCCCCAUGUCCAUCAGCUGGUUUUCCUCCCUUCCUCAUAAAGCCUCCCUCGUCAAGCCAGUUCACCUCCUUAAAACUCCAAAAGCUCUCCCUCUGAGUCCAAUGAGGCUAGUCCCUGGCUUCUCUGAGCUCCUAGAGAAAACUCCCUUUAGUCUUAACAGAGUUCAUGUUGGUACUUGAAAGUAAAGGAGGCUAGAAAAAUAUGUCACCUGGGUACAACACAUGAACCAGGAAUGGAUUAUUUCCCCCCAAAAGAACAUUAUUACACAAUUAAAUCUAUGAGAUUUCUUUUUCAUCCUUCUGCAACUUUUCUGUAUGCUUAAAUUAUUUCUAGUAAGUAGUUUCAAAAUGAGCUUUAAAACCUGUUUUUCCAUUUAGAAACAUCAAACUUUGAAUACAUAAAGAAAAAUAAAUAAAAUAUUUAUAUUGUCUCAGUUUAUUUUCUUGUUGCUGUGAUAAAAAAUCCUGACAAAAGCAACUUAAGGGAGAAGGCUUUAUUUUAGCAAUGGUUCAAUAUGGGAAGUUCAAGGUGGUAGGAGGAGGUUGUAACAGACUCACAGUCUAUCAGACCAUGGUGAGGAAGGCCAAGCCGAGGGGGCUGGAAGCAGCUAGUUACAUUAUUACAUCCACAGUCAAGCACAGAGAACAGCAAAUCAUGCAUGCUAGAGUGGAACUCACUUUUUCCACUGCUACACAGUCCAGGAUCCCCUACCCAGGGAAUGUUGCUGCCCGCAGUGGGCAGCUCUUCCUGACACAAUUACUAUAAUCAAGAUAAGCCACCAAACACAGACACUCCCACAGUCCAGCCUAACGUAGACGAUUCUCACUGAGACUCUCUUUCCAGGUGAUUCUGGCUUUAUGUCAAUGUGACAAGCUAACUAUAACACAUGUUCAUGCCAUUUAAAAUUAAAAUGGACAUCUCUGAGUUUAUUGCUCCAUUUGAGAAACAAAAAUAUUUAUCAAUAAUAUUAAUGUUUCCAAUUAAAGUUCCUCUCUACCUCAAUCCGAAGGGAACUAUUAUUCUGAAUAUACUUCAUGAACCUCUUGUUAUUAUUUAAAGACCUACUGUAUCUGUAUGAAUUCUUAAUUAUAUUCCGUGAGAGCUGAAAUUUAACUCCCCUUCUGUUUAUUGGUUACAUUUAUUUCUUCUCUAGAUCAUCUGUUUUAUCUUUUGUCCGUUUUUUCUAACUAGGUUUUUUUUUUGUCUCAUAUAGAUUUUUUUUUAUAUGCUGAGGAUACUUUAACUAUUAUGGGUAUUAUCAUAAAAAAGGUUUUCAGUAUUUUUUUUCUUGUCUUGGUAGUUUUGUUAACAUCUAUGUUAAGGAACUUGAAUCAUCAUCAAUUUAUUCUUUAUAAUGUAAGGAAGGGCUCUAAACUGAUGUGUUUGUUUGUUUUUGCCUAUUUGUGGACAAACCAAUGCUGUGGGAUGUUCUGUAAGCCAAAUGUGUUGCUCUGAUUGGUUAAUAAAUAAAACACUGAUUGGCCAGUAGCCAGGCAGGAGGAAGUAUAGGCGGGACACUGAGGAGAAGAAUUCGGGGAAGUGGAAGGCUGAGUCAGAGAGACACUGCCAGCUGCUGCCAUGACAAGCAACAUGUGAAGAUGCGGGUAAGCCACGAGUCACAUGGCAAGGUAUAGAUUUAUAGAAAUGGGUUAAUUUAAGAUAUAAGAACAGUUAACAAGAAGCCUGAGCCAUUAGGUCAAACAGUUUAAAUAAUAUAAGCGUCUGUGUGUUUAUUUUAUAAGUGGGCUGUUGGACUGCCGGGACUUGGUGGGACCCAGAGAGAAAACUCUAGCUACAAACUAACAGUGCUACUAAGCUGUCAAUGCCUCAGACCCCAGGCCUAUGGACUUGUUUUCUUACUUGAUAUGAGGGAUUUUUCCAGAUGUGGUUAAAGUUGUAUUUAAGGAUGAGGAGAUUGUUCAGAAUUACCUGAGGAGGGGCAACCUAAUUAUGAGUCCACAGAAGUAGAGCUCCUAUGCUGGCCUUGGUCACAGAAAUGUGACAACAGAAAGAUUGGCCCAGUGCAAUGCUGUCAGAGCUGGAGCGGGAGGAGGGGCCAAGGCCCAAGGGAUGACGGGAGCUUUUAGAAACUAGAAAAGUCAUGGAAAUGGAUGCUUACCUGGAAGAUCCAGUGAGGAAUGAACCACUAACUCCUUGAUUAGAUUUCUGACCUAUAGAACCACAAAUAUACUCAAAUAGCCCAAACUGCAAGGUUGUUGAUAUUUGUUAGGUAGAAAACAAACAUACAUGUCUAAAUGACACCUUGUCUUAAACAUUCCAUACAUUUUCUACUAAGUUAAAAUAUGACCUUUCCAUGUGUAGAAUUUGUGCACUCACGCUGGUUUUUAAAUUCUCUAUGCUGAUCCUGAGGAGAACGGGUUUAUUUUCCUGAUUCAUAACUGUACUUCGAUGGCUACAAGUGUUUAGAGUCUCCAAUCCUCCACUCGUUCUCCACACCUGCCCUUUAGAACCUCACCGUUUCCCACAUCUGUCCUAACUUCUUCAUUGUGGUCUCUGGUCUCGUCCUCCUCUGGAUCACUUUGCUUUCUGUUUCUGGAACUACUGAAAAUGCAAGCAUCAUUUCUACUCUUUAAAUUCAUCACAGCCACCCAUCUUUCAUCUCGAAAUUCACAAGAAAGUGCUGUGAUGAGUGAGUGACCUUGCCUGUUUGCUGGUGUCAUUUCCUGUUUCCCCCAACAGGCACCGUCUCUUCCAGACAUCAAACAACCUGAAACCCAUAAAGUAUACCAUGUUUACAAUCCUUUCUAUCUCUGGGUGUGUCUCUGCUUCUGCCUAGAAUACUGUCCAUUCUUUCCCAAAGUCCAUUAAAACUGUAUAUUCAGAACUUAGAUUAAUAUAUCAACUUCCAUCUGCAAGCUUCCCUCGCUUCCCAUUAGGCUGGGCUGGUGUCCUUCCUUCAUGUACCUACAACAGAAAUAUAUAUAUAUUUGGUUUUUUUGGAGCCUGUCCUGGAACUUGCUCUGUAGACCAGGAUGGCCUCGAACUCACUGAGAUCCACCUACCUCUGCCUCCUGAGUGCUGGAAUUAAAGGCGUGCGCCACCACCGCCCAGCAUGAUAUUAUUCUUUUAGCUUGCACUUGAAUGUUUUUGUUCCAAUAAUUGGUUUCCUUGUCUAGCUCCCUCAACAGGUAAUAGCCUGCUUAAAGGCAGGAACUGUAUUUUAUUUCUAGAUCCAUGGUGCCUAACACAACAGUAACAACUUUGGGAUAGUAAGAAUAUGAGAAAUAAUUGACUGGUGGUUCUUAUUAAAACCUGAGCCAAGCACUUUCCACAGUCUCAAAACUGCUAGGUGUCAGUUCCUAAGUUUGUGUUCUGCAAAAGUGCUUUCAGCCACAGUCCCAGAACUUUAUAACAACAUGGACCAAGUAGCAGACAUGGCUGGGUCAAUCCAACCUAAUUCGCUCAUGCUCUUUCCUAGAAAAAGUUCGCAAAGUCCUUGACUGGAGAGGUCCAUUCACUCUGCAGUAAUCCUUUGACUGCCUCGUUCUGUCAGAUGCUCAAGGAAGCUAGCGUGUGAGUGAGGGAGUUACCAAUAAACGAUCAAUAAAAAAAAAAAAAGUGCUUUCAGCUAAAAAUAAUACCGUCCGCCUUGUUUACUCAUUUUAUUCGAGGCUUGACUACAAGUGACUCUGGGAUUGUCCCAAAGGAAGAAUGUUCCCUCUGUUGAACAGAUUCAAAGGCGCAUGACUCAGGUUUUAAAAGUAAACUCGGGAGAGAAAGUUCUCAGAUGUUUUCAGCAGGAAUGACAUUGCUGGAAUAUUUUUAUUUGAAAAUCCCACUCAAUACCUGCAGGAGCCAUCAGAUUCAGGGAGGGACCCCUCUGCGCUCUCCCAGGGCUGGAAACAAAUACCCUGCCUGGCACAUCAUGUCACGUGUAAAGGGUGUGGAAGACAGUUUAGUCUCUCCAAUUACCCAUGAUUUUAAACAAGGGGAGGGUUUGGUCCCCUUUCCUGGAAAGGGUGUUUCAGGAGAUUUCAGGUUAUCAUACUGAUGUAGGAGAAUCCCUGUUAGUGCUUAGGAACCAGAGAUGCUGCAAGUGUCCUAGUGUGUGUAGAAGAGUCCUGUACAGCACAAAACUAUCCUGACCAAAAUGCCUGCAGUGACCUCAUUAGAAAUCAGACUCUAUCUUUGAUUUCCCAUGGGCCAAGAGAAGCCCAGCACUAAAAGAAAAGUCACUUUGAAGAAACCGCAAAGAAAUGGGAGCAGGAAUACCUUGUCAGUGUUAAGCUAUGGGGCUUAAAGAAUCAAUUACUUUGUAAUCACCUUUCAUCGCAAUUUCCAUACCACUCUAUUAAACCAUUGAUAAAAUAUGAAUAAUGAAAGGAAGGCGUUAUUAAAUCGAGGUAUUUCUGUGUUGGGUUGGUCCGGGAAAGGUUAAUUCUAACUGAAAUAGCAAACAAGCUCAUCACCAGCAUCCUCCUCUCUCAGUCCACACAUUGCUGGGCGUCCCCUUCGGACUCUCACACCCCAGCCCUCAACCGCCUCCAUCUGCACCAUCUGCGGGACAGACGUCCUUGCUUCGCCAUCUCAGGCGCCACUCCUUCAGAGUCUGGGGUCUCAAUUGUUAGAGCUGGUAAACCAGGUGGCUUCUAGCGAAUCCCCUCCACCUCUCUACCUGCGAGCUGGGUAACGUUCACACCCAUGCCUGUGCACCUCAAGAGCCCUGUGAGUCUGCUCAGAGCCCUCUCUGAGUUCCUCUGGGGUUGCUUUCCCGUUCUUGGAACUUGAAAAGUGCUACCGUCCUCUCAAAGUGAAAAUCAGAGCUGGCCCCAGAAGCAUCCGAGGCACAUCCCUCCUCCUGAACCACACCUGCAAUCCGCCAUCGGGCAAUCCGUUUGGUAUUCCUAAAUCAAGGAAGGCUUUAUGCUUCUCACCUAAAGAGAGAGAAGGUUUCAUAUACUACGCUGGCCUCCAACUUGCUUCAAGCCACUGAUCCAUCUGCUUCUGCCCUGGAAGUGUUGUGAUUACAGGCUUGUGUUUCUAUGCUAUUACAGUGAAAAUUGGAAUUAGUAGCCCAAUGGAUCAAUAAACAUUAACAUAUAUA